AUGUAUAAUAACACCAAAGAAUCAUAGGCUGUGUAAUGUUUUAACCGACAGAUCGAAUGAAUUCAACACCCGCACGCGAUAUUAAAAAUGUAUUAGUACUGUGAAUUUCGCAGUUCGGUUCUGGGAAUUCCUAAUUCGCUGCAUGACGUUGCACAGUCCACGCCAACAGUGCUCAGGCAUAGUUUCACCGCAAAUUAAGGAGGUCAUCACAACACUUGCACGAAGUGGACAGAACCAUUACCAAGUCAAAGUUGAAUUUACAGAAGAAAGUUUCUCCUAUUCACUGAGGUGAGUUAAAACUUUGGUAUGGUUGGUCAAUACCAACUGUCUAGUUUUCCCUUCAUACAAAAUCCGCAUUGCCCCUUUAAUUGGCCGAUUUUAUAGACUGUGAAAAUCAAGCACGUCACUCAUCUACGACAAGGUAAGCUUGACUUUACACAGUACAAAUAAAGUUGAAAACAGGUUGCAUGUAACAGGGCCUUGUACCAAUCAGCUGUUCCCGAAAUUGUAUCUAUACUAGUCUGCAACACUUCCUCCCACUAUCUGUCCUUUUUCUCAAGAACAAUUAACCAGUGGA